ensembl:lncRNA
UUUUAUUUCUUUGCAGUUAGCAGACGUACUGGCCAGCGCCCUCCGUCCACCAACAUGUCUCCCCUGGUCACCCCCUCCCCCCACUCUGGCUCUGAGGUCACACCAUCCGCCGGUGGGAUCGGUGGCAGUGAAUAUGCCGUGACGUACCGCAGGGGAACAGGGUUAGUAAGCGGGGGCGCGGGGACCCAGGGCACCUACACUUCCUUUGGCUCCGAAGGUUUGGGAGUCACAGGCAACAAGACUCAGUCCAGAUCCCCGGGACUCUCCACUAAAGUGGGCCGAAGAGCAGCCAUGCACAUCACAGGGCCCACCACGGUCACUGUGCCCCUUCACAUCACCUCCAACCUGGCAUUAGGGGUGCUGCAGGGGGGCGGGGGCGACAGGGUCAUCCACCGGAGCAGGGAUAAGGAUGCAGGGGACAGGGUGGAAGGGAGGGAGGGAGGAGAGAAGGUGGAGAGGAGUGAAAGCAGAGGAAUGGAAAGGAAGGUGGAAGAGAGCAAAAAGGUUGAGGAAGAGGAGAAGAAUUCCAGUGAGAAAGACGAGAAAGGAGUGGCGGAUGCAGGAGGGAAUACUGUGGCAGGUGGUGGUGGGGAGGAAGAACGGGAAGGAAAGAAAGAGGAGGAGGAGAAGGAGGAAGAGGAGGAGGAAGUCAGAGAAGGAUGUAGCUGCAAGCCAGAGCUGGAAGGGGUACCCAGAGAGGAACGAGCCUCCAACACCGAGGAAGAUACUGCUGUCGAUGAUGACAAGGAUGGUGACGACUACAUGGAUAUGAAAGCGAUGACGCCAGCUGAUUGUGAGCCAGAGGUGACUCUGUCAGCUGGAGACUGUGUAUUUGACGCGUCUGACGUCCACAACUCCACUACAGUGGAGGGGGAAGACCAGGAGAUGUCGGGCUACGUUCAAGAUAACUUUGACUUCCUGGACCAAAUGGACAGCAGCGUCCUGGACCACAUGGACUGCAGUGUCUCCUACCAGGUGACCGAGUUCUCAGUUGAACCUCCUGGACACUCAGAUGAUGAGUAUGAAGUGAUGGCGCAAGCUCGGCCUUCCAGUCGUCCUGCGGAGCUGCAAACAGACCUGCCACCACCCCCUCAAACACGAACCCAGAGCCAGGCAGAGUUAAAUCCACACAGGCCGCUCAGCAUCGACUCACACAACCGACACACUAAAUCCCUCAGCCUGCCGUACAUGACCUCCCCCAUCCACGGGCCGGAGGAGUCCUGCUCUGAAGAGGAGGCUGCAGUGGAGGACAGCGAUGCCAAUGAUUACAGCAGCGAGGAAGAUGAGAGCAUGUUUAUUAAAAGCCUUCCCCCUGAUUUCUUCUUAAAGAAUUUGAGCUUUGAAGCAGACACAGAACAGACAGACACUCACAAACAGGACAGAUGCACUCUAGAUGGAGUUCCUGCACAUCAAUCCCAGAGCUCUGCGGACAGAGGAUGCCAGUCACUGAACUUUGCAUUUUCUGCACGUAAAGAAUCAACUGUUGGAGAUCUGGAGCAGGUGGAAGGGAAAGAUAAUGGAGAAAAUGAUGCGCUGCAAGAAAAGGAGAUAACAAAGAAGGAAGAGGAAGCUCCCCGGGGAAGCGAGCAACUGGAAAACAAUAGGCAAAGGGAAGCAACAGAGGAAGAUGUCAUAGAAGACCCUCCCAGUGACAAAGAACAACCUCUCACUCCAGAGGCAUCAACGCUCUGCUGCGUAGACUUCCCACUCCCGAGCGAUGAUGAAUCAAGCACCGUUGCCGACCUAAAGGCGGAAGAAGAGGCAGAUGUGUUUGACAAUCAUUGCAGCGAUUACCCACCUCGUCACGACGUCCCUUGUGCUACACAGGAAGAAACCGAUGACGUUUCUUUAGAGGAGUCCGGAGACUUUUCUGUAAGGGCAACAGAGCAGCCCCAAACCUGUGAUACCAAAGAGAGAGACAGGGAUGAGGGAGAGGACAGGGAGGUGUACAAAGAGACAGAGGACAUAUGUCAAGGAAUGGUUCUGGAAAUAAAAGAAAGGGAUGAUGACAUGUGGGAAGAAACCACUGAGGAAGGCAUUGAAGUGAUAGCUGAAGAAAAACAUGAAGAAAAGAUGCAGGGAGGCGACACAGAGCAUGAUGGUGCAAUUUGUAGGGCAGGCUGGGACAUUUGGGUUGAACUUGAGCAUGUUAUAUGUGAAGUGAUAGAGGAUAAGGAAAGCAAGCAGGUCGAGGCGAAGGGUACAAGAGAAAGUGUCGGUGGGGAGGGAGACAUGAUCGGAGAUGUCAAUUUCGGAGAAGAGGAAGAGCAGGUAGCAAAGGUUUCAGGAGAGGGAACGGUGGAAGUGGACGGAGAAGAGACGAACGAGACAGAAGUUAGAGAAGAGGUAGCGGAGGAAUCAAUGGAGACGGCUGAGGAAAAGCUCACAGACGCAGAGAUGCAGCUGGAGUUUGGGGAACAAGAGACCAACGUACAACUUACAAAGACAUGUGAACCAGAAGAAGCCAUUCAUGGGAAGCAUGUCGUAAAUGAGGAAGCACAGCAGCAUGACAGAGUGGACAAAGAGAACAAUGACAAAGAGAGAGCUGAUGAGCAACGUAGAACACCGCCAAGUGUAGAUGAAUGGCUGAAAGAGGUCAGGUGUGAUGUGAAGGAGUUGAAAGAGGGCAGAAAGUGUGAGGGAAGUGACAGCAGCCAAGGGGGAUUGGGAAGGAAGCUGGUCAUCUCCAAAAACCCGAGGGUUUACCAAGUAAAAGCUGUGCCGGUCGUGCCCCCGAAGCCGCAGCACUGCAAAAUCACCGCCCUGACCCUGCGGCAGCAGCAGCAGCAAAGAGACGCCGACAGAGAGAGAGAGAACACGGCCAUAGUCCCGGCGGAGCAGGGCAGAGGGUGGGCGGGAGACGGCGAAGACGACGGCGGGGGGAGAAAGGAGCAGCCGACAUUCAGGGGAGGGGAGAAAGGAGAGAGGGAGAGGAGAAGGGAGGGGGAGGACAGGGAUGCGAGGGACACGAGCACAAACAGCCCCCUCAGCAUGUGUUUCGAUGAGGCGGUUGCCAUAGCAACCAUGAGGAGAGGGAAAGAGAAAGAGUGCGAGAAAGAGAAGGAGAGGCAGAGGGAUUGGGGAAAUGAAGUACAGUAAAGUAUUUUUUUGUGUCUGUAUAUUGAUAUGAAGUGAUUUGACUGUACAAACUAUUUUUCUAUGUGUAGCAUAAUGGGCUGUAUUUUUUUUUCUUCCAAUACUGAGGAUGUCUUAUUAAUAGGCUACAGGAGCCUAUUCUCACUGCAAUGCUAGUUGUUACUAGUAGAUGUUAAGGUGAGUUUUUUUUUACAACACACAAACUUGAUGUGCAGUCAAGAAACUAGUAUUUUUAAAAUAUAUAUAUAUUUUCUGGGGAGGAUUUUAUUAUUUUAUUCGUCAGAGAACCAUAUAGAGCUGAAAGGAAAUUAGGGAGAAGAGUUGGGAGGGAGACAGUCCCCCGGCCGGACUCGAACUAGGGAUGAUGUAAUGGGAACAACAGUGAUACCGUUACAAAGGUUGCAAUUGUGCUUCCUGAUAUUAAGUUUAAUAAAACUGAAACUGAAAGCAAACACAGAGGUGAGAUGAGAUUAAAGGUGAAGUGCUGCUGAAACACAUUGAGCAGAGGUGCCUAAAUUCUUUCAUAUGAAGGGCCAAAAUGUAUCUGGAUGGAAGGCCACGGGCCAAAAAUAAAUGUCGAUGUUGAAGAAUACCGUAAUUCUUGCCAUUCUCCAUAGAUAAAACGUACAUUAAAUGGGAAGUUCACCAGCACUGUGCAUUACAUUGCCGUUAAACUCAGAUUACGUACUUUUUAACUGCACAAAAUGUACGUUUCGUAGUCAUUACUUUUAAAAUAAGAGGAGAAUAAGCAUGAAUAUGUCAAAUCUAUGGCGGGUCAAAACAAAGAGAGCACGGGCCAAACUUGGCCCGCGGGCCCCAAAUUGAGUGGCCUUGAUGUUGAGGAUAAAAUAAUACAUGCAUAACCCAGAACUAGGUCACCCCACUCCAUUUUGAUCAAAAGUAAAAAAGAUUAGUCUCAAAUCUAGCUCACACCUGUUUGCACUCAAGUAUGUAGUUAAAUAUUUUCAGAGCAGGGAUGAUGAAUCAAAUGUAUCAUUUAUGAUGAAUAUAAUAUCUGCAGAAGUCAAGUAUUUUUUUGGUUAUGUGAAU